rfam:Gossypium arboreum cultivar AKA8401 contig_21067_7, whole genome shotgun sequence.
AUUUCGUGAGGAGGGCACUUUCGUAAUAAUUCUUUGUAGUUUUCUCAUACCCAUACAAGCACUCAUCAUCCAUUUGUUGGAAAGCAGUGAUCUCAUUCUUCAACUU